rnacentral:rRNA from 1 species
CUGCUGCCUUCCGUAGGAGUUUGGACCGUGUCUCAGUUCCAAUGUGGGGGACCUUCCUCUCAGAACCCCUAUCCAUCGAUGCCUUGGUGGGCCGUUACCCCGCCAACAAGCUAAUGGAACGCAUCCCCAUCGAUGACCGAAAUUCUUUAAUAGUUCUACCAUGCGGAAGAACUAUGUCAUCGGGUAUUAAUCUUUCUUUCGAAAGGCUAUCCCCGAGUCAUCGGCAGGUUGGAUACGUGUUACUCACCCGUGCGCCGGUCGCCA